rnacentral:rRNA from 1 species
AGAGUUUGAUCCUGGCUCAGGACGAACGCUGGCGGCGUGCUUAACACAUGCAAGUCGAGCGGAAAGGCCCUUCGGGGUACUCGAGCGGCGAACGGGUGAGUAACACGUGAGCAACCUGCCCUAGGCUUUGGGAUAACCCUCGGAAACGGGGGCUAAUACCGAAUAGGACCUCCUGUCGCAUGGUGGGGGGUGGAAAGUUU